CAAGUCCGGCCGGCACCGCGCCGGUGAGUUGGUUGUUGGAUAGGUUUAAAGCGCUGAAUCUGACAGAAGAGAGGCUCGCCGGGAUCUGGCCGGAGAGGUGGUUGUUGGAGAGAUCCAGCGAGUUUAAGUUCGGGAGACCGCCGAUGCUCGCCGGGAUUGGGCCGGCGAGGUUGUUGCUUGCAAGAUCGAUAGUGGUGAGAGAGCUGCACGAGCCUAUGCUUUCCGGUAUCUCGCCGGAGAUUGAGUUGUACGG
rnacentral:lncRNA from 1 species